rnacentral:rRNA from 1 species
AUUGAACGCUGGCGGCAUGCUUUACACAUGCAAGUCGAACGGUAACAGGCCUUCGGGUGCUGACGAGUGGCGAACGGGUGAGUAAUGCAUCGGAACGUGCCCAGAGGUGGGGGAUAACGCAGCGAAAGCUGUGCUAAUACCGCAUGUGAUCUGAGGAUGAAAGCGGGGGACCAGGCAGCAAUGUUUGGCCUCGCGCCUUUGGAGCGGCCGAUGUCAGAUUAGGUAGUUGGUGGGGUAAAGGCCUACCAAGCCGACGAUCUGUAGCUGGUCUGAGAGGACGACCAGCCACACUGGGACUGAGACACGGCCCAGACUCCUACGGGAGGCAGCAGUGGGGAAUUUUGGACAAUGGGCGCAAGCCCGAUCCAGCAAUGCCGCGUGCGGGAAGAAGGCCUUCGGGUUGUAAACCGCUUUUGUACGGAACGAAAAGGCUCUGGCUAAUACCUGGGGCUGAUGACGGUACCGUAAGAAUAAGCACCGGCUAACUACGUG